CAGUGCCAGAAAGGGGUCGGUCAGGCUGUAGUGGCUGUAGCGCUCCUGCAGGAACACUUCCCUCCUUUGAGCCUGCAGAAGAAAUGACAAUUUAGGCUACCGUAAUUUCUGGCCGCAAGGGGGCCCUCGAGCGGAAAAGCUGCUUAAUAACUCCACGGAGCCUGGCGACGAGCGAUGGAUCAGCGCUGGUGUGUCGUCGCUGGAUGUCGCUUGCAAGCUCAUCUGACAUCUGCAGCUGGCACCUUCUUGGAGAUGUUCCACGCGGGAUCAUCCUCUCCGUCACGUCACAAGACUCGUAACACUUUGUCGAAACCUGGCAGACACCUUGGGCUUUUACCGGUGUUUUCUGUGACAUCAAUCCAAGCCAAAAAAUAUCAGCUAAUGUGCGCUGAGAUCAGGUGACCAGCAUUGGACUGCGUGAAAUGGGCCCCUACAAACAAGAAACUUCCCCCCCACCUUAAGCCAGCUACAGCGAGUGUGACAGGAGCGUGCAAAGAGCAAAGAGCUUUAUUUAACCAAGGCAUGGCAGCAGUUAGGGUGUUGGGGGGGGGGGGGGUGUUAGUUUGGGGUAGCGGGAGGGCGCAGAGGCGGAAGUGAGCGAGAUGAGCCGGCUCGAAUACCAUGUCGCUGGUGCACCUGUUUUGCUUUGCCGCCAAGCGAAGGCGGCCUGGAGCGGGUUCUGGAAGGGGUGAUGGGUCGGAGGAGGAGGGGGUUGCUGACACGGUACUCCCAGCUAUGCCCGCUGAGUCACUGAAAUUAAGACCAAUUUAGAAAGGUGUCUGGUGAACACAACCAACCCCCCCUUACACCGCCUCCUCACCUCGUACCGUCACUCAAACCCACCCACACGCUUUCCCUCAGUGCCUGUUAGGGCUGUGUGAUUUGGCAAAAAAAAAUAUAAAUCACGAUUAUAUUUUUUGCUAUCGUUUGAUCUUGCUUAUCAGAAUUAUUUUAUAGUUUUAAACUUCAUAACUGCUAGUUUUAAAGCAUCUAGACUGAACACUGAAGACGCUAGAGAGUAGUUCAGUCAGCCCCAAGUGUGAAUGUUUUUAAUUCCAGGUUGAAAACUUUUUUUUUCUCAUGCUUUUUAGAAUACCUCCACUUUUUGAUCAUAUU